rnacentral:rRNA from 1 species
AUUGAACGCUGGCGGCAUGCUCUACACAUGCAAGUCGAACGGUAACAGGGUGCUUGCACCGCUGACGAGUGGCGAACGGGUGAGUAAUGCGUCGGAACGUGCCGAGUAGAGGGGGAUAACGCAGGGAAAGUUGUGCUAAUACCGCAUACGUACUGAGGUAGAAAGUGGGGGACCUUCGGGCAUCACGCUAUUCGAGCGGCCGACGUCUGAUUAGCUAGUAGGGGAGGUAAAGGCUCACCUAGGCGAAGAUCAGUAGCGGGUCUGGGAGGAUGAUAGGCGACGAAGUGACUGAAACAGGGACCGGACUCGUACGGGAGGCAGCAGUGGGGAAUUGUGGACAAAGGGCGAAAGCCUGAUGCAGCCAUGCCGCGUGUCUGAAGAAGGCCUUCGGGUUGUAAAGGACAUUUGUCAGGGAGGAAAUCCCUAGUGCUAAUAACACUGGGGGAUGACAGUACCUGAAGAAUAAGCACCGGCUAGCUACGUGCCAGCCGCCGCAGUAAAAC